GAAAAAAAAGGCCGUCAUGGCAAUAUUCAACAAGAACACAAGUGCCCAGUGCUUGUUGGCUCUUGUGCUCAUCGCUACUGUCAUUUCGUCUUGCGAUGCGUUUGGCCCAGGUACGUGCGUCUCUGACCUAACUAUAAGUCAAUGUAGUUUUGCCAUGUGAUGCUAAUUUUCUAUGUAUUUCACAAUAUUGAGUUGUAUGGAUCUUAUGGCAUCUGGUCCAUGCUGAAGCGUAACUUGCCAUGUUGUGCGGGUAUUCUUCUAACAAUGUUUUUUUGUGUGAACAUGUAGAAGGAGGAUGUUUCAGGCCUUUCCUGAGUUGCGAUCUGGACUUAUGCAGGCGUGACUGCAAUGGUUUAUUUGCCUCUUGCCAAAUGAUAGGCGAGUUUCACCACCGAUGUUGUUGCGCUCCCAAGAAACUCAGUGCAUCUAUUGAUAAGAAUAGUCAUCCUUGAGAUAUGCAUUCCGAAAUUAUAGUUUAUAUGUCACUGCUUUUUCCUGGAUCCAAUUUUGCAUGACUGAGUUAAAUUUAUCGCAAUUGAAAAAAUAUCGCUCCCGAGAUAUUUACGUAUCGCAUGAAACCAUAAUGCUUUGUUUGGAUGUUCAUAUUCAAACUUCAACAAUGAUAUUGGGGCCAAUAUCAAUUCAACUUGGACAUUGACAUUGACACGUAAGAUAAAUUCUGCUGUUUGGAUGCUGAUAUAUUUGACACUUAAACAGUGACAUUGAGACCUGUAAGUGCAUCUAGUGCCCCUUAGUGAUUUUGGUGUAUUGAAGACUUAGAGGUUAAGAGACUAAUGUGUUUGUGACUGUACAUAGGUCUAUAAGUCUAUGAGGAGUUUGAUAUUUACAGAAAAAGUCGACCCCUAAAAAUGAAUGUCUUCAACUGAAGACUUUGGCUUUCUGAAGACUUUGAAAGUGAAGAAAUUGGUGUGACCGUGAAGACUUGAUAUUCCUGCGAGGAACAUGAAGCGUGAAGACUUUUGUUUUCGUAGUUUCAUUUUCUCUUUCUUGACUCAUAGGAAACACCAUACUGUUAAAGGGGGUCGAGGAAAAACUAAGAAAAAGUUUCCAAGUGAUGCUCAUCUCAAAAUCCUACACCUACCAAUCCCUUCGAGUGAAGCCAUUAGAAAUCUCAUACAGAUCAGUCAAUUUCUUCAGUGACAGAGACGAAGUUCUUCUGGUCUCUGAGAAUUUGUUCUGACUGAGGAGAUAGGAAUUCGCCAGUGCGGAUUGCCUACAAAUGAGGAACAUGAUAGUCCUGAGGAAUUUGAAC
rnacentral:lncRNA from 1 species